GACAGAGGGGGCAAGCGUUGCUCGGAAUUACUGGGCGUAAAGGGCGCGUAGGCGGUCUGGCAAGUCGGUCGUGAAAUCCUUCGGCUCAACCGAAGAACGUCGAUCGAUACUGCUGUUCUUGAGGGUUGCAGAGGAGACUGGAAUUCCCGGUGUAGCGGUGAAAUGUGUAGAGAUCGGGAGGAACACCGGUGGCGAAGGCGGGUCUCUGGGCAAUUCCUGACGCUGAGGCGCGAAAGCGUGGGGAGCAAACGGG
rnacentral:rRNA from 1 species